rnacentral:rRNA from 1 species
AGUGAACGCUGGCGGUAGGCCUAACACAUGCAAGUCGAACGACCGCACAGUAAGAGCUUGCUCUUGCGGGUGGCGAGUGGCGGACGGGUGAGGAAUGCAUCGGAAUCUACUUUUUCGUGGGUGAUAAUGUAGGGAAACUUAUGCUAAUACCGCAUACAUCCUACGGAUGGAAGCAGGGGUUCUUCUGGCCUUUUGCGGUUGAAAGAGCUGAUGUCGGAUUAGCUAGGUGGCUGGGUAAAGGCGCACCAAGGCGACGAUCCGUAGCUGGUCUGAGAGGAUGAUAAGCCAAACUGGAACUGAGACACGGUCCAGACUCCUACGGGAGGCGGCAGUGGGGAAUAUUGGACAAUGGGAGCAAGCCUGAUCCAGCCACACCGCGUGAGUGAAGAAGGCCUUCGGGUUGUAAAGCUCUUUUGUUGGGAAAGAAAAGAAGCAGGUUUAUCCCCCGAUGUUAUGACGGUACCCAAAGAAUAAGCCCCGGCUAACUUCGUG